AAGAAAAGAAAACAGUACAAUUCUCUCUCUCUCUCUCUCUCUCUCUCUCUCUCUCUCUGCAACAACAGAAGCUGAAGAAGAAAGAAAUGGGGUCUCUUCAUCCAUUUUCCGAUGCGUCCCAAGCUUCCGGAAAGACCCAAACCCUAAUAAACCCUAACGAACUCCUUGAUCUCUUCAAAUGCCAGCAGAAAUUCCUGAAUUUCUUUUUCCAAAACCUCGAUCUCUCACAAACCCUCUCCUUCACUCAGACCCUAUUGAACGCCAAAGGUACUAUCUUCUUCACCGGCGUCGGAAAAUCUGGUUUCGUUGCUCAAAAGAUCUCUCAGACCCUUGUCUCUCUUGGCAUUCGAUCGAGUUUCUUGUCCCCUCUCGAUGCUUUUCAUGGAGAUAUUGGCAUUUUGUCUAAUUCAGAUCUCCUGGUUCUCUUUAGUAAGUCUGGGAACACUGAGGAGCUCCUUAAGUUGGUUCCAUGCGCCAAGGCGAAAGGAGUGUUCUUGAUCUCUAUCACAUCUUCGGAGGGAAAUUUGUUGGCCAGUGUUUGUGAUUUGAAUGUAUAUUUACCUUUGGAGAGAGAAUUGUGCCCGUUUGAUCUGGCACCGGUGACAUCCACCGCGAUUCAGAUGGUUUUUGGCGACACCGUGGCUAUUGCUCUGAUGGGUGCAAGGAAUUUAACCAAGGAUGAGUAUGCGGCGAAUCAUCCGGCAGGGAAGAUCGGCAAGAGCUUAAUCUUCAAGGUAAAAGAUGUAAUGAAGAAGCAGGAGGAGCUUCCAGUUUGCAGGGAAGGAGAUUUGAUAAUGGAUCAGUUAGUGGAGCUUACAAGCAAGGGAUGCGGAUGCCUUCUUGUCAUUGAUGAUGAGUACCAUCUAAUUGGAACUUUCACAGAUGGUGACCUGCGUCGCACCCUGAAGGCCAGUGGAGAAGGCAUCUUCAAGUUCACAGUAGGAGAGAUGUGCAACAGGAACCCAAGAACAAUUGGUCCAGAUGCCAUGGCAGUGGAGGCUAUGCAGAAAAUGGAGUCCCCACCAUCACCUGUGCAGUUCCUGCCUGUUGUCAACCCUCAAAACAUUGUGAUUGAUGCAGAUCCUCCAAUUGAAAUGGAGAAACAUGAAAAGUAUAUGAUUCCUUCAUUCGUUUGGUCUUUCUCGCCUACUUAUUAUCUAUAAUAUUUACACCUAUAGACAGCUAAAGUUUCCAGCAAAACUGGGUGAUCUGAUCUCGAGUCGACAUCGGCAAGUUUUGCAGGAUUAAAGUUUGCUUUAUUACAUAUCCUGGGUGGAUCAUCAUGUCAAACUGAUAGGCAGCUCAACUUGAUGCAGAAAUGCAAAUAUUAAGUCAUGAUUAUUCAAAAGAAUAAAGCAGGGCAGCUAAGAAGGUUUCUUGAAGUUCUUGUGAUGUUUAGAUUUUGGAGUCCAAGACUGAACAUAUCUGAGCUUAGUUUAAUAUGUUAGGAGUUAACUGGAUUCAAGAGUGGCAGCACAACUCAAUUGGAUCACAUUGAAGGAAACCAGACGUGAUAAUUGUCAUAAAUUUCAAUCACCAACAGAGUCCUAAUACAACUAUUCAUUUCAUGUGCAAAUCUAUCCAGGAGGAAACAAUAGGACAGAGGAUAGGUAUGUCACCAGUAUUACGGUUAACUAGCGGACAGCACCAAUGGAGCCUCUGGAGGAAGUAUCAUACAGGAGGGAUAGGGGUGUCAUUUCAAAAGGGGGAGAGAGAGAGAGAGAGAGAGAGAGAGAGAGAACGGGUGCUAGCUUACUGUAUACCAGCAGCAUGCCCGACUUUCAUUUCUCCAUUUUUGUGGUAUUUAUGUUCUGCUAUGGCAUUGGUGUCCAGCUUAUAUUUAUUAUUCAAGGAGGGUAUAAGCUUCUCUCCAUAGUCUGUGAGUUUGAAGUGUAUUCAUGUAAUUUAUGAAAAGAAAUACAACAGUAUCAAGGAUCAAACCCGAAAUUCAAGGAGAAACUAAAUCAAAGCUUGUUUCUGGUGCA